rnacentral:lncRNA from 1 species
AUGUACAUCCACGCAUAUCUGAUCCAUAUUGCUGCAUCAGAGGUCCUACAAUAUGUUGUUUUUUUUCAAAUUAAAACAGAUUUCUCUCUGGUACAGAAGAUAUAAUUAAGGGUUUGAUUCAUUAGUCAUUAGUGGCACGUGUCCUGUGAUUUGUGAAAAUUUUUGAAAGGAAAAAAAAAUCAAACGGCUGCUUUUGUAAUUCAAGA